CUGAGUUUGAGGUCACGUUGGUCUACAAAGAGUUCCAGGACAACCAUGGCUACACAAAAAAACUCUGGCUCAAAAAAACAAAAACAAAAACAAAAAAGAAAAAAAAACCCUGACUCUAGAGUUCUAGGCUCAGAGGUGAAUGCUUGAUGCACAAUCAUGAGGACUUAAGUUCAAGUCCCAGUGUCUAUGAAAAUGGUAGGGUAUGACCAUACAUAUACAGAUGAAUGACAAAGAAAGAUAUCCAGUAUUCUCCAUGUGUGCAUGACUUCAGCGUGCAACACACACACACUAAAUAAACUACAAGACAGAGUAAUGUUUGUGAGCCAAUGGGAUUCUAGUCAUUACAAUAGUAUUUUUGUACUGACAUACAUAACUGAUAAAAUCAUUUUUACCCUAUUUAAUUUCAGCCAUGGAUGCAUUAUUUUAUUUUAAAGUACCAAUUUAAUAAAUGCUCACAUCAUAAAAGAAUGUUUUAUAAGGCAAAAUUUUAAUUUCUAAAAAUAUCUUUAAAAGUUAGAGCAAGCCUCAACCUCAAGUACAAUACAUAUAGGUAUUAUAUAUUUGAGCCACUAUAAAAUGUCACGAAUAAAGAAAAGAUAAAAUAGUUAAAGAAGUAUCAAGAAUUCAAAACACAAAUCCCAGCACUCGGGAGGCAGAGGCAGGCGGAUCUCUGUGAGUUCGAGGCCAGCCUGGUCUACAAGAGCUAGCUCCAGGACAGGCUCUAAAGCUGCAGAGAAACCCUGUCUCGAAAAAAACCAAAAAAAAAAAAAAAAGAAGAAGAAGAAUUCAAAACACAGGUGUGUUUAUAGCUGUUUGUACUUGGAGUCCUUCCUACCCACUUCUGUGCUGGCUGAUGUCUCAUCCCCAGCUGUAUGUGUGUAAGCAAAUAUCUAAGUAUGUAGAUACGUAACUGUGGUUUUUGUGGGGAGAAAGUCUUCUGUCAUCUUUAAGAGCAGAGUAUCCAAGGCCAGGCAUGGUGGCACAUACCUGUAAGCCCAGCACAGGGGUAACAAAGACAUGAAGAUUAUGAAUUCAAGGAAAGCUAGGCUAUACAGCAAAACCUAUCUAAAUUAACAAUUUACAAAGUGAGCAUAGAUUUCUGUGGAAGAGUGGGGACAGAAAGAAAAUGUCAGGAUUAAGGAACAAGAGGAGAAUAAGAUAAUGUGUCAGAAUUGUCUUUCAAAAAGAAAGGAUAAUCAUCCUGUGGUACAACAUGGAAGAUUCUUAUAUGCCAUUUGUAACCAGCAGAAACCUGUCUAGAAAGGCUGUAUAUGGUGCAAUUCCAACUCCAUGACCUUCUGGAAGAAGAUGUGGCUGGAGAAAGUCAGUGGUUGUGAAGACCGAGUGGGGAGGGGAUUAUGGCAGUGAAACUAUUCAAUACGAUUCAAUAGUGUGGGCACACUCUCAUUACUCUUGAAGAUUUACAGCAUAUAUACUUUUCUCAUCCCUGUGACUAAACCCCUGACAUGAGACAUGUUAAAGGAAGGAUUCAUAUUGGCUCAUGGUUGAAGAGAUGCACGCCUACAGAAAGGUACAGUGGCAGGAGGCUCCAUGGCAGUGGGAUUGCAUAGUUAGGACUGCUCAUUCUGCACAUCUCCACAGAAUAGGAAGCAAAGAAAGGCAUAGAGAAAGGGCCAGAAGUAGGGUCAGGCUAUUGUCCUCAAUGUCACGCAUCUGGCAGAGAACUUGCCUAGGAUUUGCAAAGCUGUGGGUUCAAAUGCCAGCACUGUGGAAACUGGGGUGGUGGUAAACACCUAUAACCCCAGCACUCAGGAGGUGGAGGCAGGAGGAUUAAAAAUUUAAAGUCAUCUUCAGCUAUAUAGAGAGUUCCAGUCCAGAGGCAAGCCUGGCUGAUACUGUCCCCUUCCCCAAACAACAAAAGAAUGAAUGCUUUAUUUAGUUAUUUUAUUGGUUAAUCUUGCAGGGGCUUGGCAAAGCAGAGUCCUUUGAACGGCUGCAUGAAGACCACAACUGUGCACAGGGCCACCUGAAAGCUGGCCUAGUGCAUCAGCUCCUGGGCUGGCAUAGUCAGACCAGCUGUGUGCUGCUCAAUAAUGUAGUUGUCUCUGUUAUUUUUCCAUACAGCUGAAUACAUUGGCUCGUAUGCGUGCAGUCAUGCAGCUGCUAGGUUACUUCUGUAUGCUCUCCUGGUUUUAUAAUACCAACUCAAGAAGCAUGAAACCCCUUUCCACCUAGUUCCCAGAAAAGAUCUUGUUGGCUUUUAAAUCCCUCUUCCUUUAUUCCAUCUCUGAUACUCUUUUCUUUCUUUCUCAGUUCCAAUAAGAUUAUCUUUUACCAUAGACUCUUUGUCUGAAAGGAAUGAAUAAGUAAGAUUAACACAUAAAACGCUACUUGAGUUUGAGAGGAGUAUGGUCUCUGCCUGGUUCCAUGUUGCAAAUGCCUUACAAGCCGUGCGGUUACUGCAAGGCAGAAUGGACUGGUAUUUUAAGGUUUCCUUUGGCUGGCGAGAUAUGGAAAGUUUUACUGGCUCAUAUUGUGUUCUGAUUUCCUGAAGCAGUUUUCCUAAGCCACUCCACUUCAGCCAGACCCUGAAAUGAAGCCUGCUUGUGUGACUGCUCCUUGUCAGCUAAAAAUUAGUUUAGAACAUUUUAUUUCGGUCUUGUUCUCUCUUUCUUAAACUUCAUUUUAACAAGAUUUCAGAGAAGUCACAAUUUUCCGUUAUAAAACUUUUCCUUUGGGAUGUGAUUCUGAAAUAUUCUCAAAUGUUUCUGAAUCACAAAGAACCACAUUCUUUUUCUCAAAAAAGAAUUUCUGGUGCAUUGUUCGAGUUCAAUUUUUAAAAUGAAUAACUUGAAUAUUUAAUGUAUUUGUUUUUCUGUCAUUUGCACUUAAUGGCUAUACUGUAGAGCUUAAGUUUUACUAUCAUCUACUCUAAUCACUCUAUGAGGUAUAUGUAAAGUCUUCUCUUAUUUUUGAGAUUAUAAUUGUGCCCUUUCACCCUUCUUUUCCGUCCUUGUAAACCCUCUAGUUUACUCCUCCUUGAGGAGUCAAAUCCUUUACAAUGUCUGUGUUCAUAUUUGGCAACAAGGAAAUGCAUAUCACAAUUCUAUUUCUUUCAUAAAACUUCUACCCUAGAUUUGAUUGAUUGAUUAUUGAUUGUCAUGCUGGCAUUAGAUCUCAGGGUUUCAUGUACACUAGACAGACACCUACCAAGGGAAUUACAUCCCUAGCCUCGGGAGCCCUAGUGUUAGAUAGUAUGUUGAUGUUUACUUGACAGGUAUUCAGGUUUGUAAACUUUCAAAUUAAUUCAUAUAAUUUGAGUGUUGCUCUCUGUGACUGUGCUGUAUUGAAAUGUAUGGGCCUUCUUAUGGCCUGAGUCUUAAGUAGCUUGCUGGCUAUUUGUGUAUAAAGUCUUUCUAAUUCGAAACUUUCCCUGCGAAAUAGAAUAGAGAUGAGGGUUUUUUGUAAUGUUUUGAGAAAACUUCCUUGAACUCUCAUUUCUUCUCUCUGUCUCUCUCUUUAUCUCUCUGUGUGUCUCUGUCUCUCACUGUUUCUAUCGUCAUUUGGUUUGUCAUGACUUUUGCUAUUAGAGGAUUAAAAACCUGGUUCUAGGAGCAGAGUACUUGGGCUCGAUCCCACUUUCACCAUUAUGAACACUGUCAUUUUGUGUGUAUUAGUGGAGAGACAUUCUGUGCCUUAGGUUCCUUAAUUUCAAAAGGGGACUCAAUAGUAAUAAAUAGUCAAAAGUGUCAUUAUAUUAGAUUAAAAGAUUUGUUUAUGAAGCAAAUUACAAGCGUUCCUACCAUUUGGUAAUUGAGCAGUAAAUGUCACCAGCUUCUAUUGCUGCUUUGUUUGUUUAUGUGUAAUAGCUUUCAUUUUUUGACCAUUAUUUCUUUUUGAUAAUUUUACUACAGCCUGUUAAAUGAACUGUGCCUUGAGAGCUGUGUAAACGGAUACCUUUCAUUAGUAAUCUUAGCUCUAAGCUUAUGCUGAGUUAAAAAGAAUAACAAUUUUUUCAGAAUCAGUAUUUAAUCCUUUUAUUUUUCACCAGUAAAAACUUUAUAUAUUGUGCAAGAACAUAUUUCAAUAAGCACAUAGACCAUAGCCUUGACAAUUAUACAGUGAGAAUCAUAAAUUCAAGCCAUGUGUUCCAGUCUGUUUUUUUUUUUUUUCCAGUCUGGUUCUUAAUGUGAGGUGGAGCGUAUAGUGUUCUCAAGUGAUAAGAGGAUCAACCAAUCAGGUUGGGAGGGCUAGAGACACCUUGGAAAAGUCAUUUACAGGAGCUGAGUCCUGGCGGUGAAAGGAAUGGGCUUGGCAAAAAGAAGUCAAUUCAGACAGAAACCCAUACAAACAAAAAUCCAGAAUCAUGGGAUGACUAUAAAAUCAGAGGAAUGGUGCUAAGCCCAGACUUCUGGAGUUACUGUUCCCCCAAAAAUAACAGAAGUGGAGGCAAAGAAACAUUGAUAGGCUGGGGAUGCAAACCAGUUGGCAGAGUACUUACAUAAUAUGUGUAAGCCCUGGGCUCAAUCUGUAGCACCAUGUAUACUGAACAUGAUGACUCAUGCCUGUGAUCUCAGCACUUGGGAGGUGGAGGCAGGAGGAUCAUGAAUUUAAGGUCAUCCUAAUACAUGAGAUCUUGUCUCAAAUAGAAACAAAAAUUUCUGAAAAGUGAGGAGACGGCCUAGAGGGAUGGCUCAGCGUUAGUUUUUAGGCAUAUUAUUUUGUACUGCCAGCCAGCUCCCAAAUAAACACACAGAACCUUAUUACUAAUUAUAAAUGUUCGGUUGAUAGCUUAGGGUGGUUACUAACUAGCUCUUUCAACUUAAAUUAUCCCACAUUUCUUAUCUAUGUCUUACCACAUGGCAGUGCCUUUAUUUAGCAUGGCAUAUUCAUCUUGCUUCUCCCGCGUCUCCUGGUGAUUCCACCCUGCUUCAUCCCCUGAGCUCUUUCGCUUUCCACAAGCUCUGCCUAGCCUCUUCCUGCCUAGCUACUGACCAUUUAGCUCCUUAUUCAACCAAUGAGAGUAACGCAUCUUCACAGUGUACAAAAAGAUUGCUCCACAGCAUUAGUUGGUUGAUGUACUUUGAGAGAAGGUCUCACUGUAAAACCUCAGCCUGGAAUUUAUCAUAAUGGUCCUCGUGCCUCUGAUCUCUGAUUCUUACAAGGCAGGAUUACAGGUGUGUAUGAUCACACACUGUGAGUUUGUAUAUUGUGCUAUAUGUAAGGGCUAGUCAUGAUUUUUUCCAGAAGUAAUGUUUGGUUGCUUUUCAUCUAUGAGAGCAAGGUCUCUACAAUGCAGUCAAGCAUGUCCCGGAACUUGUGAUCCUCCUGCUUCAGUCUCUCCAGUCCUGGUUUUACGGCAGUCUACCACAGUUGGAUCAGAAGGGACUCUCCAAGCAGCAGGGUAGGAUGACCAAGCACAGGAGAAGGGAGGGAUACCACUGGGAAGACAACUGGUGCAAGAAAGAAAGAAUCUUCUUUAAUUUAAUUUUGGAGAAAUGCCAUAAUAAUACAGUCUUUCUGCUGAUGGGUUUUGUGAUUUUUAUUGUUGACUAACACUUUAAAAGUGCAACACUGCACUCAGCAUGUAGUUAAUACACUAACAGUGUCUUUUCUCUCUUGCUACACAAGGAUGUAUCUCCAUGGUCCCAUGUGGAAGACAGACUGAGAGAAACAUAGAGAUGGAGAGGAGGCCAGGCGAAAGCUGCUAACCCCACACCAUGGCGUACACAGCUCCGGGCCUGUGAGCUUGUCAAGACACCCCAGGAGUGAGAGUUCUGAAAGUGAGUUCUGUGGUGACAAAAGUAAACUGAACCUUCACCUGGCGAUGGAAAGGGAAAAUGACAGAGCCCCACAUUGGAGCACCCGACUG